GUGCCGAAGAACCUGAACCUGACUGGCAGACACAUUAUGUCAGAAUAAUUAGAUCAUGCGAUGAUUACUUGGUGGCAAGGCGAUGGUUAACAAAAUAUAUGUCCUGUGACACAUCUGAUCUCCAUUCAGAAGAGGAGGCAAUUCCUAAAAGGAGAAAGCCAAUGCCUGUCCAUUUCUUUGGGGACUCGGAUGCAGACAGCGAGACUGAAAAUCGCCACCCCAAAAAAAAAAAGGGUCCAACCACUAGCAGGACAGUUGCCCCUCCUCCAACUAUUGUCCCAUCUCCUCCACAGACUUCAUCACCAGCAGGACAGCGAACAAGCCAUGCAGGGUACACACCAACCUGGCGAGGGGCGAGGUGUGGUUCAGACACCAUUGCCUGCUGUGCUGCUCAAGUUCAAAUGAUGGCCAUGCUGGAGACGCUUACA